AAAGACUCUCGGCAACGGAUAUCUCGGCUCUUGCAUCGAUGAAGAACGUAGCGAAAUGCGAUACUUGGUGUGAAUUGCAGAAUCCCGUGAACCAUCGAGUCUUUGAACGCAAGUUGCGCCCGAAGCCAUUAGGCUGAGGGCACGCCUGCUUGGGUGUUGCACAU
rnacentral:rRNA from 2 species